AGUGAACGCUGGCGGUAGGCCUAACACAUGCAAGUCGAACGGCAGCACAGUAAGAGCUUGCUCUUACGGGUGGCGAGUGGCGGACGGGUGAGGAAUACAUCGGAAUCUACUUUUUCGGGGGGGAUAACGUAGGGAAACUUACGCUAAUACCGCAGACGACCUACGGGUGAAAGCAGGGGAUCUUCGGACCUUGCGCGAUUGAAUGAGCCGAUGUCGGAUUAGCUAGUUGGCGGGGUAAAGGCCCACCAAGUCGACGAUCCGUAGCUGGUCUGAGAGGAUGAUCAGCGACACUGGAACUGAGACACGGUCCAGACUCCUACGGGAGGCAGCAGUGGGGAAUAUUGGACAAUGGGCGCAAGCCUGAUCCAGCCAUACCGCGUGGGUGAAGAAGGCCUUCGGGUUGUAAAGACCUUUUGUUGGGAAAGAAAAGCAGCAGGUUAAUACCCCGCUGUUCUGACGGUACCCAAAGAAUAAGCACCGGCUAACUUCGUG
rnacentral:rRNA from 1 species